rnacentral:rRNA from 1 species
UUUAAGGUCUAAUCUGCCCAAUGAGGGAUUAAAUGGCCGCGGUAUUUUGACCGUGCAAAGGUAGCAUAAUAAUUAGUUUUUUAAUUGAAAGCUGGAAUGAAUGAUUGGACGAGAAAAUAGCUGUCUCAAAUUAAGUUAAUUAGAAUUUUAUUUUUAAGUAAAAAAGCUUAAAUUUUUUUAAAAGACGAGAAGACCCUAUAGAGUUUUAUAAUUUUAUUUAUAGAUAAAUUUUAUAGAAUUAUAAUUUUAUUAUAUAUGGAAUUAUUUUGUUGGGGUGAUAGAAAAAUUAAAUUAACUUUUUUUAUAUUUUAACAUUAAUUUAUGGUCUAAUGAUCCAUUAUUUAUGAUUAUAAGAUUAAAUUACCUUAGGGAUAACAGCGUAAUUUUUUUUUAGAGUUCUUAUCGAAAAAAAAGAAUUGCGACCCCGAUGUUGGAUUAAAAAAUACACCUGGUGUACGGGC